rnacentral:lncRNA from 1 species
AUGAGACUACACACUAAGAAUACCAGUUACUUCUCCCACACUGUUAAAAGAUGUGAGGCAACUCUAUCCCUUGAUCCACACCAGCAGUGUGAUGUGCCAUUGAAGAAUGAAUGGAAAUGGUCUUACCCAGCCUUGCCUUUGCGUGGGACUCCAUUUGUGUAUUAUGUGGUGCUCAGGCAGAAAAGUUCUCAUACCUUGCUUCUAGACUAAUAGAUUUUCUGCAUUUGGUGAUAAACCCUGAGGGCUGUGGUCCUGACACGUGAAAGAUCUCAUCUGAGAAGCCUGUCACAGGAGGAGACCUGUUCCUAUUCACAAAUGUAACAUUUAAAGUGAAAUAAAAAGACUGAGUUGCUCCA